rnacentral:rRNA from 1 species
UAUCGGAACGUACCGAGUAAUGGGGGAUAACUAAUCGAAAGAUUAGCUAAUACCGCAAAUUCUCUGAGGAGGAAAGCAGGGGACCUUCGGGCCUUGCGUUAUUCGAGCGGCCGAUAUCUGAUUAGCUAGUUGGUGGGGUAAAGGCCUACCAAGGCGACGAUCAGUAGCGGGUCUGAGAGGAUGAUCCGCCACACUGGGACUGAGACACGGCCCAGACUCCUACGGGAGGCAGCAGUGGGGAAUUUUGGACAAUGGGCGCAAGCCUGAUCCAGCCAUGCCGCGUGUCUGAAGAAGGCCUUCGGGUUGUAAAGGACUUUUGUCAGGGAAAAAAAGGCUGUCGCUAAUACCGACAGUUGAUGACGGUACCUGAAGAAUAAGCACCGGCUAACUACGUGCCAGCAGCCGCGGUAAUACGUAGGGUGCGAGCGUUAAUCGGAAUUACUGGGCGUAAAGCGAGCGCAGACGGUUACUUAAGCAGGAUGUGAAAUCCCCGGGCUCAACCUGGGAACUGCGUUCUGAACUGGGUGACUAGAGUGUGUCAGAGGGAGGUAGAAUUCCACGUGUAGCAGUGAAAUGCGUAGAGAUGUGGAGGAAUACCGAUGGCGAAGGCAGCCUUCUGGGAUAACACUGACAUUCAUGCUCGAAAGCGUGGGUAGCAAACAAGAUUAGAUACCCUGGUAGUCCACGCCCUAAACGAUGUCAAUUAUCUGUUGGGCAACUUGAUUGCUUAGUAGCGUAGCUAACGCCUGAAAUUGACCGCCAGGGGAGUACGGUCGCAAGAUAAAACUCAAAGGAAUUGAUGGGGAC